rnacentral:rRNA from 1 species
CCCUUAGAUGUUCUCGGCCGCACACGCGCUACACUGAAAGAGGCAACGUGUUUGCCUGAUUCGAAAGAAUUGGAUAACCCCCUAAUCUCUUUCGUGCUGGGGAUUGAGGUUUGCAAUUAUCCUUCAUGAACGAGGAAUUCCCAGUAAGUGCGAGUCAUUAUCUCGCGCUGACUACGUCCCUGCCCUUUGUACACACCGCCCGUCGCUACUACCGAUUGAAUGAUUUAGUGAGGACUUCGGACUGAGUCCAAUGCGGCUUUCGGGCUGCGUUGGUAUUUCGGAAAGAUGUCCAAACUGUAUCAUUUAGAGGAAGUAAAAGUCGUAACA